rnacentral:tRNA from 1 species
GGGCCCAUAGCUCAGUUGGUGAGAGUGCCGGUCUCACAUACCGGAGGUCACUGGUUCAAGUCCAGUUGGGCCCACCA